CUCUCCCAACCGGAGUGACAAAUGAUGUUUUGGAAAAAUCUUUAAAGGAAAAAAAAAUAUUCCUUAAGGACUGGACAAAUUGAUGAGGAUGGUGAGAAAUUAUGUCUAUUUGUUUGUGGAACAGAAAUGAGCCGAUUUGACUGCUGUUUUCUCUGAAGAUGUUGACAGUCUCUAAGGGAAAGUGGAGGUGGAAAAAACUAAAAACACCUGCCUGGCAUCUGCCUUUAUAUUUAGAUUUAUAAAUGCAGUCUUCAUAUUCUAUUAUUUUAGGGAAUGGAAAAUUCUUGUUUUUGUUGGUAUCCCAUGCAAGAAAAGAAGCAAUUCAACCAUCGCCGGCUGCAAUCUGGUCUAGCUCUGACUGAAGCUCGUCGGUGCCACAACGCCUUUGCAGUGUGGGCUGAUCUGCUGUCGCGGGUUUGCCCUCUCUGGAAAUAGAGCAGGACGUGACCGAGUACUGAGAGCCUUACCCGAAGGGCUCUCCGUCUGCUCCUCACCCUCAGGCGCCUCGUCUUGGUGACCGGCAGCACUGUAUGAGCAGAGCUGUAAUCUCGAUGUGAGGUGAGGUUUUCCAGCUGAACCCACACACAAGGCCUUCCUCUGCUCCACAGCAGUGCUGGGCUCUCCUUCACUCCACAGGCUCAGUCAGAGCUGCAGUGAGCACUGGUGCCAGACGAGGAGCAGCCGCUGAAAAGGCCAAACAGGUCCAAAAAAAGGGGAGUUGAUGGGAUUUCUUACACAAUUAUUUGGGGUAUGCACUGCUGUGACAUUGACACCACUGGAGAACAUUAUCAGUAGAAAUGUGGUCACUACUGAUACUGAAAAUCCAUUGAAGAAGCUCCAGAUGGGUUUCUUGGGAAACCGAGCUUGGGAACCAUUAACCAUUUUCACAGGAGGUGAAAUUCCCCCCAGUGAGGUGUGGAAGCUCCGUACAGCAGCAGCUUGGGGAACCAUGUUCACACCAGAUCAGGACAGUGUGUUCCACCCUGGUACCAGGGGCGGGUUACACAACCAUCUGAGUACAAAAGGCUUGAUUUGCUGAAGGGUCAUUGUGGCUGGGAAGACAGCGAACUUUGGGUUCUGCAAACACGGAGAGAAUAAUCCCCCAGGGUUUCGCACAAAUAUGCAUAACUUGAAAACUGCAAUAGGCUCAGAACCUUUGUUAAAAAUGGAUCGGGGGGUCUGUAAAGUGCAGCUAUUAAUCUAGUGUGAAACAGGGGCAAGGUGAAUGCCCUGCAGGGCCAUAAUAUUGGUCAGUGUUAUGACAGCAAGAAAAUUAAAAUAAACAAAAACUAAUGACUGUUUUGUUCAGGACAAACUUAAAAAAAUAAACAACCUAAUCAACAGCUCCUUCCUCACAGUUUUGAAAGAAAAUUACCUAAGAAGAUAAAGGCUGUGUUGAGGCUGUUACUACUGAUCUGGUGUUCACUAGUGAUCAUACUACAAAAUACAGCCUCUCCCGUGAACCAGGUGGCAAAGAUAAUGUAUUUCCUUUUCUCAUUCCCCAUCUUCAGCAGACAAGAGUCUAUUUAAUGUCACACGCCUGAAGGCCCCUAUUGAAACUCCCCAUUUUAAACCUGACGCCCCUCCAAAAUAUGCUAUCAUUUUAAUUAAUUCUAUUGUGAACUAAAAAAAAAUGUUCCCAGAAUGGACCAUCAAGAGACUUGCUUAGCCUAAAUGGCAUUACUGAACACAGAACUGACUGCUGGGUAAGAAUGUGAUGGCAUGGGUGCUAUUCAGGGCCCUCACUACAUUUACUGGUCAUCCUCUUGACCCCUGAGGUCCUGGGACCUGGGUGUUUAGCGCCACUGCUAUUGACUGUACAAUACCGACAACCUCAAUACUGUUCGUUUUCCUUCCCCCCGUGUGCUGUCUUGGCAAGAACUCUGCCUCUUCAGACUGCCAAUCCUCAGCUCCUGAACUCCAUUGACAUCGAGGCCAUUGAAGGCGCCGAAAACUUGUCAAUGGAAAGCCUUCUUCGAAACACAAAGCUUGUUUAACGCUAAUUGAAGAACAUGUAGCAAGCAUAAUUCAUUCCUGUUGGAUGUGAGGUUUUUUUUUUCACACAAAGCUGUGGGACAGAAGUACAAGAAAACGCACUAUGUCAGUCAAACCGAGCUGAAGGCUAGAGUGAAAUGGCAUUAUUUGAAAUGCUGCAGCAGCAGUGCGGCGUAUCAAUAAGGCCUGCGGACAACUCAGAGGGCCACGGGCUAGGAUGUCAGGUGAGAUGCUGCUCUUGUAUCCUUGAGCUCUGGUAGCCCCAGGACUCGCCCUGCUGCAUAAAUGUGUCUCCAGGGUGACAUUGUAAAUGAGAAUUCGUUCUUAGUUGACCUAUGUAGGUAUAAAAAAGGAGUUAAACUGACUGAGAUGGAAGGCUGAACACUGUAAGUGAUGGUAUCUGAGGUUUUGCUCAAUGGAAGAGACAGGCAUUUGAUCUUUUUUGGAUCAGGUCACAACUUCAGAGCUGCUCGGUGGAUGUAGUUUUAGUAGAUUAUAGGAUCUAUAGACACAAACUCCUUUUAAAUAGACCUUGUUCCCUUGCCACUGUUUUUUUUUAACUUACUUUCUCAGUGGGAUCAACUUUGAACAACCGGAUUUGACAGCAUUGUAUCAUUUUACGGCAUUUCCAAUGCGGGACGAUUCCCGAGCUUGAAACGCCGUGUCUUCUGAGAACAUUACCUAUUUCAUAGACAUAUGAAACUAUAUACCUCAGACAUUCGUUUUAGUGGUACCAAAUUAUUAGCUGCUCAGCGAUUCCUAAUGAAGCAGAGCGCGGUCUUGGUAUGAUUAAUGGCGCUAUUGAAAAGCCAAAAAUGGACUCGGGUCACACAGGCAUGCAGUGUGGACGUUUGCCCAUUUCCUCCUUCGGCUGUUGAGUAAGAGGAUUUCUUCACAACAAUGUGCUGGUCUCUUCCAGGGGUUAAAUUCCCCAGAUAAGAGAUUGUUCUCAUAAAUGCGCUCAGCAGUUUAAAAAAAAGGAAACGUUUUUUGUUCCAAAGAAUGACCCAUCUCAGCACAGCAGGGAACGGUGCCUGGUGGAACCAGACUCCCUGUGAAAUGGGGGACAUACAGGAUGGAGGGAGACUCGUUGCCCCGUUCCUGGCCCUUCUCUGGCCCUUCGCUGAGGAGAACAAGCCUCUGGACAUCACAGAGCCCAUCCCCUCCAGACAGGUGGCAGCACAUUUCCACUGUUUACUUUGGCUCCUGUCCCCAGACGAUAGGUCUCCAUCAGCAACGCAGGGGAUUUCCUUGAGCAGAGUGUGUUGACACUGGACACCCUCAACAGUGUCGCAUCGCCGCAGGACGAAGCUACAAAACAAGGAGAUUGUGAUAUCCUCUGUUCAUGACCUCUCUUGUACAUUAUGCUAUUUUAUAUAUUAUUGAAGUUUGCUGGUUGAUUGCCUUGAAAUCUUUGCUAUAUAAUUCUCUUUUUGUGGGUCUUGUGAGGGUCUACAUCACUGCAGGAGCCCCUCAAUGCUCCAGUUGUCCUCCUGGCUUAGAAGGUACUGCAGUUGUGAGGGGAAACAUCCCAUAACAAGAAUGGCAAGAACGCUCUCUCCUAGCAAGCCACGAGAAAAUGACACAGAAACAUUGUGUUAUGUUUUUUAUUGCAAGGUCUAAAACACAGAGGAGCGCCUUUUAAACACACGUCAUUGUGUCACAGCUUAAUUUAGAGCCUUUCGGUGUCCCGAUAUUUUCAAAAUUUUACUUCAGCUCUGCGGUUCCUGUCUCCCAACACUUCAAGCCUUUGAGAUAUCAGGGCACCAAUGAGGGCUCUUUUCUGACAGGUAGUAUUUCAGACUACCUUCACACUUACUGUACUUUAGCUUCCCACAGUUCCAGAAAUGUACAAACAUACACCUGGUUCUGUCUCGUACCACUCUCACAAAAGCUGCAGAACACAGAUUGGUAAUUCAAUAUCCAUGCUUAUUAGUUUCUACAUCCUUCGAGGAUAAACGUACAAGGCCAAAUAAAGGUUAUUUGUAAUGAUGAAUGAUUUAAAUCCCUGUUAUGCAUCCAAUAAAUGCAGUGAACAAGAAUAGUUUCAGGACAGAAAACGUAAUCCAAGGAGGUACUUCUCAAAUGAGACAGCCACAGCGAAUCUGAGAUUCAGACAUCACUGUCUGCUGACACAGAUCUGAAGCUAAAGGUUGAAAUAUCUGAUUUAAACUGCUUACUUGAUCCUUCGGCAUUAUUCUAGAGCACAUGAUGCAUUUUGAUUUAUGUUUUUAAAUCAAUCUCAGAAGCGAAAAACUUUUAUAAAGAUCAUUUACGAAGCUAAUAACUCUGACAAUACCGUAAAGAAUGAAGUACAGCCUGACAAAGAAUAUGCUUACUCCCACUUUCAGCUGCUGAGUCUUUUUUGGUGCUUAUUAGUGUAUAACUACCUGUAUAUAAG
ensembl:lincRNA